GGGUUGUGAGGUUAAGCGACUAAGCGUACACGGUGGAUGCCCUGGCAGUCAGAGGCGAUGAAGGGCGUGCUAAUCUGCGAUAAGCGCCGGUAAGGUGAUAUGAACCGUUAUAACCGGCGAUACCCGAAUGGGGAAACCCAGUGUGACUCGUCACACUAUCAUUAACUGAAUCCAUAGGUUAAUGAGGCGAACCGGGGGAACUGAAACAUCUAAGUACCCCGAGGAAAAGAAAUCAACCGAGAUUCCCCCAGUAGCGGCGAGCGAACGGGGAGGAGCCCAGAGCCUGAAUCAGCAUGUGUGUUAGUGGAAGCGUCUGGAAAGGCGCGCGAUACAGGGUGACAGCCCCGUACACAAAAGCGCAUGUGCUGUGAGCUCGAUGAGUAGGGCGGGACACGUGGUAUCCUGUCUGAAUAUGGGGGGACCAUCCUCCAAGGCUAAAUACUCCUGACUGACCGAUAGUGAACCAGUACCGUGAGGGAAAGGCGAAAAGAACCCCGGCGAGGGGAGUGAAAAAGAACCUGAAACCGUGUACGUACAAGCAGUGGGAGCACAGGUUUACCUGUGUGACUGCGUACCUUUUGUAUAAUGGGUCAGCGACUUAUAUUCUGUAGCAAGGUUAACCGAAUAGGGGAGCCGGAGGGAAACCGAGUCUUAAUUGGGCGUUAAGUUGCAGGGUAUAGACCCGAAACCCGGUGAUCUAGCCAUGGGCAGGUUGAAGGUUGGGUAACACUAACUGGAGGACCGAACCGACUAAUGUUGAAAAAUUAGCGGAUGACCUGUGGCUGGGGGUGAAAGGCCAAUCAAACCGGGAGAUAGCUGGUUCUCCCCGAAAGCUAUUUAGGUAGCGCCUCGUGAACUCAUCUCCGGGGGUAGAGCACUGUUUCGGCUAGGGGGCCAUCCCGGCUUACCAACCCGAUGCAAACUGCGAAUACCGGAGAAUGUUAUCACGGGAGACACACGGCGGGUGCUAACGUCCGUCGUGAAGAGGGAAACAACCCAGACCGCCAGCUAAGGUCCCAAAGUCAUGGUUAAGUGGGAAACGAUGUGGGAAGGCCCAGACAGCCAGGAUGUUGGCUUAGAAGCAGCCAUCAUUUAAAGAAAGCGUAAUAGCUCACUGGUCGAGUCGGCCUGCGCGGAAGAUGUAACGGGGCUAAACCAUGCACCGAAGCUGCGGCAGCGA
rnacentral:rRNA from 1 species